AUAAAUCAUGAUUUUAAUCAAAAAUCUACUUCUACUUCUAUAUAUUAAAAGAGGACUAAGGAUAAAAAGAGCAAGAAAAAUGCCUGUGAAAUUACAUAUAUACCCUCGAUUUUUACACAAUUUCUGCAUUGCCAUUGGCUGUUUGUUUUCUUUUGAUCUCUAAAACAGUUUUGAUUUGCCUACUGUUCUCUCCUUGCCUGUGAUUUAUCAUUCAUGUCUUGUGCUUGGUUGCCUCCGCUCGCUUGGGUUUUCCUCCUGGUUUGGGUUUUAGGAUAAACGAAUCCAAUUUUUGUGUGUAUAUCAAUUUGGUUUAUGCGGUACACCUUCUUCACAGGUAUGGUUUCUCAGAUUUUGAUUCGUUGCCUACAUGUAUGUUAAUGGAGAUGAACCAACAUCAAAUGUUUUGAUCGGGUUCUACUGUCAUAGGACAAAAGUUAACAUCACUUAUGCAAUUGGUCUUGUUAUUGUAUAUUGGAAUUCAUUGAGAACAACGCUUGGUUACUGAAUUUCUACUUUGACGUGCUUUUUCUUUUUGUGCUGAAAGUUGUAAACAGAUUAAACGAUGGACUUGUACAUUGGUUGGAACGUCCUCAUCCACGGAAGUACAUGGUUUCAAACUUUGCCAAAAUUUCCUCCAUUUUUUUAGUCUCUAUUCCCUAUCAAAUGCUAACCCUCCCGAUUUAUUUAGAUUGUGAGUAGGCAUAUACACCUGUACUCAGCCUUCGAUGGAAUCAGCGGUGCAACCUUUUGGUGGUGUUUUUGAUACUUGUCUCCUUCUACUUCGGUGAUUAUAGUUUAAACAUUCUUCAGAGGUCUCUAGCAUUGUUGUGUUAGUAAAGGGAAUGUAAGAACUACGGUUGUGGCAAAGGAUUAUAUUAAAACGGCAAAGAAGUUUGACAUGUCAAGGAAUUAACUUAUAUAUCAAGGAACCUGAGGUUCCUGCAUUAUAAAUUAGGCCUUCUGCAGUUUCAGUCUUCCAGUUGCAGAAGAGAAUCACGUGGAUCAUUAAAGAUCAGCCUCAUUUCUAUGCCUUCAAGAGUUAAACAUAACUCUUUGAGUUACUUCCGCUUUCAUGGACUACCCAUACGCUCUAACAAGAAGUGCAAGAUUUUUGACGACACAUCAAGUCUCUACAAAUUGGUUAAUGUCGCACACUACUUGCAGUGUAUAAAAAAACAUGUUCUGCUAUUGCGUGAAAGAUUGAGGAUGAAUCUCCUGAGGAGAUAUGCCGUUUAUUUAAUUUUCCUGAUCUUUUGACAAAGGUUUUAUUCUAGCCAAUAUGCAUCUCUAUAAUCAUUUAGGUUUACUAAGUUAAUUGGUACAGGUUGAAAAGUUGGAGACUUGGAACAACGCACCUGAUGUGAUGAUGUUUUAGUAUAGAGAAAGAUUAGCUUUAAACAUUUUUGUAUCAGCAGUAUACUCAUACUACGUGUAGACCACAAAAA